CGCGGGAUGGAACAGUCUGGUAGCUCGUCGGGCUCAUAACCCGAAGGUCGUAGGUUCAAAUCCUGCUCCCGCAA
rnacentral:tRNA from 1 species